UCCACCUGCACCCAUGCAUUACAUGUGACUCAUUAUUUUUUCAAGGGUGAAAGUCAAGGCCGGCAUUUUAGUGCAAUAUAGAUUCAUACAAAAUACAAGCCGUUAAUGCAGAUUUAUGCAGCCUGAUGUAAAUGCGACUGAUUUCCUAUCAGCUGAGCUACAGCCGCACAAAGCUCUCUCAUUGCCGGUAAUGAAACGUGACUGAACCUUAUCAGCCUAAUUUCUCCGCGUAAUGGCAUUGCAAACAUCCCACCUGCGGGCACACGACACUGAGAGGAGCUGUGGAGGAUGCGCUCAUAAUUAAGCUAAUAUCGAUCAGGGUUGUUAAAUGCAGAGCACCUCCCAGCAUCCUCGCGCGUCUCCAAUACUUUCUGAGGAGGACAACGUGAUCCUUUGUCCUUGGAGACGCCCUAGGUCCUCCCCAGGGGGGACAGGGUAGGUAUCGGAGCCCUCUCCUACUCUACUGAGGUGAAGAAUCGUGAAGGAUUCUGUUAGCGGCACUUUGCGAGUUAGCCAGCCCCUGUGUUAAUGGAAGAGCGAGCCGAUCACCGAUCAUUACGAAAUCUCACGAAAGACCUCUCGGCACACGCACCUUCUUUACAUUGGAAAUUAUUCUCCAACCGAAGCAAUGAUUUGCCGUUAGAUUAUGCUGAUGAUGGCUGCGAUAACAUGAAGAUGCACUCUCUUCCUCUGAAAUGAAAAAUGCAGCCAAGAGCACCGAACAGCCACAAGGUCUCCUCCAGACCCUCCCUGCCAUCUGGAACCACAGUGCACAUCGGCGGCGGGGGGUGGGAGCAGUUCAGUGUGAUGCACGCAGGCUCCCUUUCAGGCACCGGGGUGCCAUUUUGCGCAGGUGCGAUGUGACACAAGUGACGCAGCCGUGUGACUUAACUCACAUACUGAACGGGACAAGCCGUAGCCACCGAGCCCGUCUGCAGUUCUAGGCGCAGUCACAUUAAGACCUCAUUAGUCAUACUUUCGUUUGUCUGGCUUUUUUUCCCUCCCAUUGCUCUGGCCAUCUGUGGGCCACUUCCAGAUGCCUUCGAACAGAGGAAAGCCGGCACACUAAAUCUUUAAAGUGUUAGGGAGGCUCGUUGGCAGAAAGGGGACUUGGGGUUUGCUCCUUGAGGCUUGUAAAGGCCAGUGUUUUAUGUUUUGAGAAGCACAAGGCUCUGUAAUGAACUAAUGGGAAAAAAUAUUUCUGCAGCUGGUGCAUCAUGGGAAGGGUUCAAAUACAUUCACAGCCAGUCACUGUAAAAAAAACAACAACACACAUGCACUGUGAAAGACGACAGACACACACAAAGGCAAAGGCGAUAUUUUUUUGCAUACGUUUAUUAUUAUCUUGUAACAAGGCCUCCGAUUGGUAUACAAUGUUUGAUUUUUUUUAUUUUUAAUACAGACUUUCGUUUGCUACACAAAGUGACACCUUGAUACACAAGUUCAAUAAACACAACAAAAUACAUCUUUAUCUGCAUUACAUUUACAGAUAAAGAAGAAGAUCAAACGUAAGGCACUGGCCGGCUACCCUUUGCUUGUACUACCGAUUCAUACGUACUGUAUUGUGCAUAAUACAAUUUUCAAAGCCAAUACUUAACAACGGCAUUGGCAAUAUUCCCUUUAUCUAACAUAAGAAAAUGUGUCUUUUCCAGUGUUCCCUUUUGUGCAGCUCCAACUCUGUAUUUGCCCCUUUGUUAACAAGAAGUCCUUCUCUCUGGUGUACUCUAAUCUUCCCACAAUGCUUUGCUGCAUCAGAAGGCCAUGUCCAAAAUUGAAGACUCCCCCCCCCCCCCCCCCAAGCCCUCUACUUUCCAGAGGGGGCAUGCGCAUUGUUUUUGUAAGAGAAUCACAGAUUUUCAUCAACAAAAAUACACCAGCUUUGGAAACUAAGGGAUGGGUUUGAAUGCAUGAAAAAGGUUCAGCCGAAUUAAUGAGGUUACCACCUAAAAACUAAAACUU